UACGGGGGGUGCGAGCGUUGUCCGGAAUCACUGGGCGUAAAGGGCGCGUAGGUGGUUUGAUAAGGGUGUGGUGAAAGUCCGGGGCUCAACCCCGGAUCUGCCGUGCCGACUGUCAAACUCGAGGGCUGUAGAGGCAGACGGAAUUCCGGGUGUAGCGGUGAAAUGCGUAGAGAUCCGGAGGAACCCAGAGGCGAAGGCGGCAGCCUGGUUGGCUCCUGACGCUCGGACACGACAGCAUGGGGAGCGAACGGG
rnacentral:rRNA from 1 species